rnacentral:rRNA from 1 species
UGGGGAAUAUUGCACAAUGGAGGGAACUCUGAUGCAGCGACGCCGCGUGAGUGAAGAAGUAUUUCGGUAUGUAAAGCUCUAUCAGCAGGGAAGAAGAUGACGGUACCUGAAUAAGAAGCCCCGGCUAACUACGUGCCAGCAGCCGCGGUAAUACGUAGGGGGCAAGCGUUAUCCGGAUUUACUGGGUGUAAAGGGAGCGCAGACGGCUGUGCAAGUCUGAAGUGAAAGCCCGCGGCUCAACUGCGGGAUUGCUUUGGAAACUGUGCGGCGUGAGGAUCGGAGAGGUAAGCGGAAGUCCAAGUGUAGCGGUGAAAUGCGUAGAUAUUUGGAGGAACACAGGGGGCGAAGGCGGCUUACUGGACGAAAACUGACGUUGAGGCUCGAAGGCGUGGGGAGCAAACAGG